rnacentral:rRNA from 1 species
UACAGAGGUCUCAAGCGUUUGUUCGGAUUCAUUGGGCGUAAAGGGUGCGUAGGCGGCGCGGUAAGUCGGGUGUGAAAUCUUGGAGCUUAACUCCGAAACUGCAUUCGAUACUGCCGUGCUUGAGGACAGGAGAGGAGACUGGAAUUUACGGUGUAGCGGUGAAAUGCGUAGAUAUCGUAAGGAAGACCAGUGGCGAAGGCGGGUCUCUGGACAGUUCCUGACGCUGAGGCACGAAGGUCAGGGGAGCAAACGGG